UACGUAGGGUGCAAGCGUUGUCCGGAAUUAUUGGGCGUAAAGAGCUCGUAGGCGGUUUGUCGCGUCUGCUGUGAAAACCCGAGGCUCAACCUCGGGCCUGCAGUGGGUACGGGGCAGACUAGAGUGCGGUAGGGGAGAUUGGAAUUCCUGGUGUAGCGGUGGAAUGCGCAGAUAUCAGGAGGAACACCGAUGGCGAAGGCAGAUCUCUGGGCCGUAACUGACGCUGAGGAGCGAAAGCAUGGGGAGCGAACAGG
rnacentral:rRNA from 1 species